AUGGCGGAGUCGCCCGAGAACGCCGCCGCGGCGCCCGCGCCCGCGCCACCCGCCGCUCCCUCCCCGGCGCCGGCGCCGGCAAUGAAGUCGUCCCCGCCCACCAGGUUCGGGAUCCCGCUGCGGUACGACCUCGAUGCCAAGUGGGACGCCUGCCUCGACCUCUCCAUCCGCCGCGUCGCCUACUCCUCCCUCGGCGGCGCCUUCGGAGGCCUCAUUCUCUUCCGUAGCCCAACAACCCGCUGGGCAUCAGUUGCACUUGGAGCUGGUGUGGGGAUAGGGGCUGCGUUCACUGAAUGCUCAUACAUAUUCAAUGGUUCUCCUCCAAACUGGUCGGCCCCUGAAUGCUCAUACAUAUUCAAUGGUUCUCCUCCAAAGUGGGGAAAGGUAAGCAUUUCUCUUCUCCCGCUUACCCUAUGUUCGUCUCCUUCCUCCGGCUGCUUGCUGCACCACAGCAAGUAA
rnacentral:rRNA from 1 species